CUCCGGUUGAUCCUGCCGGACCUGACUGCUAUCGGAUUGGUACUAAGCCAUGCGAGUCGUUGUAGCAAUACAAGGCGGACGGCUCAGUAACACGUAGUCAACCUAACCUAUGGACGUGGAUAACCUCGGGAAACUGAGAAUAAACCGCGAUAGAUCAUUAUGCCUGGAAUGGCUUAUGGUUCAAACAAUUUAUUGCCGUAGGAUGGGACUGCGGCCUAUCAGCUUGUUGGUGAGGUAAUGGCCCACCAAGGCUAUAACAGGUACGGGCUCUGAGAGGAGAAGCCCGGAGAUGGGUACUGAGACACGGACCCAGGCCCUAUGGGGCGCAGCAGGCGAGAAACCUUAGCAAUGUGCGAAAGCACGACUAGGUUAAUCCGAGUGAUUUCUGUUGAAGAAAUCUUUUGUCAGUCGUAAAACCACAGACGAAUAAGGGGUGGGCAAGUCUGGUGUCAGCCGCCGCGGUAAUACCAGCACCUCGAGUGGUCGGGGCGAUUAUUGGGCCUAAAGCAUCCGUAGCCGGUUCCGUAGGUCUCCUGCAAAAUCCAGUCGCUCAACGAUUGGCGCGCAGGAGAUACCGCGGGACUAGGAGGCGGGAGAGGUGGACGGUACUCCACGUGUAGGGGUAAAAUCCUUUGAUCCGUGGAAGACCACCAGUGGCGAAGGCGGUUCACCAGAACGCGCUCGACGGUGAGGGAUGAAAGCUGGGGGAGCGAACCGGAUUAGAUACCCGGGUAGUCCCAGCCGUAAACGAUGCGAGCUAGAUGAUCCAGUCGCAAAUCGCGACUGGAGUGUCGCAGGGAAGCCGUUAAGCUCGCCGCCUGGGGAGUACGGUCGCAAGACUGAAACUUAAAGGAAUUGGCGGGGGAGCA
rnacentral:rRNA from 1 species